AGGUUGUUGUCAAUCAUUUGAGUUAAAUUUUUAUAAAUUAUUAAACAACUAUUGUCCAUCUUGCCUGGAGAGGCGAGCUUUGGCGCAAUGGUAAGAUUGUUCCAUUGUGAUCUAGAGGUCAUAGGUUUGAAAUACGGAAUAGUCUCUCCACAUGUGGGGGUAGGGCUACAUAUAUCUUACCCUCCCCAGACCAUGCGAUGGCGGGAGCCUCAUGCACUGAGCUGCUCUUUUUUUUAUUGUCUAUCUUGCAAAGAAGGUGAUUCUUGCUUUGGUGGUUCGUUAAUUUAAUCAAUUUUUUUUUCCCAAUAGGUAUGUGAUCCUGCUGUCAGUGUAUUUAAGGGUUACACUUUGCAUAAAGAAACAGAGGAAUAUCUUGCUUCUCGCGGGCUUAAAAAUGCUUUGUACUCCAUUGAUGCAGAUGAUGUAAAAGAAGAUUUGUUUAGCAAUCUUGUGCCUUGUUGUUUCCAGAAGAACAUGCCUAUUUCAAAGGAAUACGGUGAUCGGAGAGCGUAUGUUUAAUGGAGCCCAUAAUGGCAUGGAAUUGUGCUCUUUCCUCUUUUUUGCACGGAUGUAGUUGGAUCUAGUUCUUUCUCGACCGAAU